rnacentral:rRNA from 1 species
CCCUUAAUGCAAGCGACGCCGGCGUAAGGGGAUGACGGGCCUUCGGGUUGUAACCCUCUUUUCAGUAGGGAAGAAGCGAAAGUGACGGUACCUGCAGAAGAAGCGCCGGCUAACUACGUGCCAGCAGCCGCGGUAAUACGUAGGGCGCAAGCGUUAUCCGGAAUUAUUGGGCGUAAAGAGCUCGUAGGCGGUUUGUCGCGUCUGCCGUGAAAGUCCGGGGCUCAACUCCGGAUCUGCGGUGGGUACGGGCAGACUAGAGUGAUGUAGGGGAGACUGGAAUUCCUGGUGUAGCGGUGAAAUGCGCAGAUAUCAGGAGGAACACCGAUGGCGAAGGCAGGUCUCUGGGCAUUAACUGACGCUGAGGAGCGAAAGCAUGGGGAGCG